CACGUAGGGUACGAGCGUUGUCCGGAUUCAUUGGGCGUAAAGCGCGCGUAGGCGGCUCGGCAAGUCGGUCGUGAAAUGCCGGGGCUCAACCCCGGGACUGCGUCCGAUACUCCCGAGCUGGAGGCAGGUAGGGGAGAUCGGAAUUCCUGGUGUAGCGGUGAAAUGCGCAGAUAUCAGGAGGAACACCGGUGGCGAAGGCGGAUCUCUGGGCCUUGCCUGACGCUGAGGCGCGAAAGCGUGGGGAGCGAACAGG
rnacentral:rRNA from 1 species